rnacentral:SRP_RNA from 1 species
GCUGGGCACGGUGGCUUGUGCCUGUAAUUCCAGCUCCCUGGGAGGCUGAGGCUGUAGGAUUGCUUAAGCUCAGGAGUUCUGGGCUGCAGUUGGUCAUGCUGAUCAGGUGUCCACACUAAGGUCAGCAUCAAUAUGGUGACCUGUGGGAAGCUGGAAGUUACCAGGUUGUCUAAGAAGGAGUGAACCGGCCCAGGUCAAGAAUGGAGCAGGCCAAAGCUCCUGUGGUGGGAUUGCACCUGUGGUUGGUCCCUGCAGCCCAGCCUUCAUAAGAAAGUAAGACACAGUCUCU